rnacentral:rRNA from 1 species
GACGAACGCUGGCGGCGUGCUUAACACAUGCAAGUCGAGCGGUAAGGCCCCUUCGGGGGUACACGAGCGGCGAACGGGUGAGUAACACGUGGGUGACCUGCCCUCAGCUCUGGGAUAAGCCUGGGAAACUGGGUCUAAUACCGGAUAUGACUCCAUGACGCAUGUCGUGGGGUGGAAAGCCUUGUGCGGCUGGGGAUGGGCCCGCGGCCUAUCAGCUUGUUGGUGGGGNGAUGGCCUACCAAGGCGACGACGGGUAGCCGGCCUGAGAGGGCGACCGGCCACACUGGGACUGAGACACGGCCCAGACUCCUACGGGAGGCAGCAGUGGGGAAUCUUGCGCAAUGGGCGAAAGCCUGACGCAGCGACGCCGCGUGAGGGAUGACGGCCU